UGCCAGCCGCCGCGGUAAUACGUAGGUGGCAAGCGUUGUCCGGAAUUAUUGGGCGUAAAGCGCGCGCAGGUGGUUUAAUAAGUCUGAUGUGAAAGCCCACGGCUCAACCGUGGAGGGUCAUUGGAAACUGUUAAACUUGAGUGCAGGAGAGAAAAGUGGAAUUCCUAGUGUAGCGGUGAAAUGCGUAGAGAUUAGGAGGAACACCAGUGGCGAAGGCGGCUUUUUGGCCUGUAACUGACACUGAGGCCCGAAAGCGCGUUCAUAUAACAGGAUUUGAUA
rnacentral:rRNA from 1 species